rnacentral:tRNA from 1 species
GGAGGGAUGCCGGAGUGGUCAAACGGAACGGCUUGGAAAGCCGUGGCCCUAACAGGCCCCGUGGGUUCGAAUCCCACUCCCUCCG